AAUCUCAACUUUAUUAGAAGAGACGCAUUUAUUAGAUAAAAAGCCAAUGCAUGCUUUUACAGUAUGAAAAUUGGUGAUUUAUAAUAACUUAGCAAAUCGCAAAGUGAAAACAGGCGAUAAAUCAUUCAAGUUUCUGACCUAUCAGCUUUCGACGGUAUGGUAUUGGCUUACCGUGGCAGUGACGGUUAACGGGGGAUUAGGGUUCGAUUCCGGAGAGGGAGCCUGAGAAACGGCUACCACAUCUAAGGAAGGCAGCAGGCGCGCAAAUUACCCAAUUCUAACAGUUUGAGAGAGGUAGUAACAAGAAAUAACAAUACAAGGCAGUUAAAAUGCUUUGUAAUUGGAAUGAUAGAAAUUUAAACCCUUUUUAAAGUAUCAAUUGGAGGGCAAGUCUGGUGCCAGCAGCCGCGGUAAUUCCAGCUCCAAUAGCGUAUAUUAAAAUUGUUGCAGUUAAAAAGCUCGUAGUUGAAGUUCUGCUAAAAGUAACCGGUCUGCUUUUAAUAAAGGUGGUAUCUUGGUGUGUAUUUAGCAAUGAUGUCCUUUGAAGUGUUUUUUACUUUAUUGUAAUAAAGCAUAUUCAGGACUUUUACUUGAGAAAAUUAGAGU
rnacentral:rRNA from 1 species